AUACUUUGAUUUCUCUUCAUAUCGAAUAAAUCUUUCGGUUUUUGCUAAAGAUUUCCGAAGAGAGAAACAAGCUUGAGUUUCAUAUGAAUAGGCUGUUCAGCAAUAACAUAU